GAGAGACAUGGAAUUGAGCACGAAAAAAAAUAGAGAAAGAAGAAGAGGACUCUCGUGCAAAUACCGAUACUCGAAGCAGGAGCCGAAGUAGCCGGCACAACGCAAACAACUCCGGAGUAACAACACGAUGAUCCGGCCGUAUUUAACGUCCUCGUUUCCCGGCCAUCUGACGCGCCAUCGCCGCAUUCUCGGCCUUUAAUUCGAUUGGCAUGUGAGAAAAUAUUCGUUUCUACAGGUAUAAAUCCGCCGGAGCCAUUGGCAUUUAAUUGGUAUUUACCUGAUAGUUCGCUUCGCGUAUGCCGAUGACCCUGACAUUUACCGCCGCUGCAUUUUGCAUGUGUUACGCGCAUACUCGUUUUUAAAGCGCCGUUCACAUCGCGAGCCGGCGAGAUCUCUCGCGGAGCCUUACAGGGCAAUCUCGAACGCGCGUCUCGACGCGGUUUCGAUUUUGCGCGUUUGCCAAGCCGAGAAUGAGCCGAGAGCGUGCUAGGCGGCGGUAACUCUCCAUUGAUAACAUUCGUCUCUCGUCGACGCGGCGCGAUGCGCGCAAGUGCAUGGAAAUGUGGAGCAAGGACUGUAUUCUGGAGACGCGGCGGAGGCUGCGUGGUGGAAACAUCGGGAUUUUCGGAUUUAGAAAGGUAUAUAUAUAUAUAUAUAUAUAUCGGCUUUGCUUAAUUUCUUCGAAGUAACGCUCAAAAUGCUGCACACGGUCAUCGGAGGUCUUCCUUGUACACGAAGAAGAAACAUUUUAUUUCACGCGUAAGAAAAAGAAAAUCAGAUGAAUAUUCGAUAACGAGGAACGAUGUCUCGGUUGCUGCAACAACGGAAACAACUCGAUUGACAUCACAGAGACAUCAGUCGACCGAGUAGCCAGCUGCUACGGAAAUGUUUCUGUCUCUACGAUAGAAUUCUCGUCUGCUCCCCAGAUCGUGCGAGGAAUCUCACAACUACGACGAGAGAAUAUUAGCGAUCGAGCGCGCGCGCCUCUCAAGCUGGAUUCUCGAGAGUGUAUUCUUCAUCCUUCUGCUUCCUGCUUUCCGCAGAUUAUAUCCUUUCAGAUGUCCACGUCUCCACGUACUCGCACGCGCUCGCUCGCUCGCUCGCUCGCUCGCGUAAAUAUGAUUCGUUGCAGCGCCCGUUUACACGUGCCGCGCGCUGCUUAUGCCCGAUCGUGCAAACCUGUUUAAAGCGCAAACAUUGAAUCACACAAGCUGGGCCCUCUGCGAUUGCGUUGUUGCACGCCGCGCGCUGUGUGUGUUGUUGCGUUUGUCCGUGAUUUGAAAGUAACGCGGCGAAAGUGAUUUUAAAAGAUCGGCUUUAUUUAUAGUUCGCGCUCGUCGCGCCGAGUCCAAUCUUUACGGCCUCUCGACGAUUUAUUUCGAUUUUUAUUCCAUUAUAUAACUCCCUCUCUUUCUUUCUCUCUCUCUCUCUCUCUCUAUCUCUCUCUCUCGCUCUCUCUCUCUCUCUCUCUCUCUCGCUCUCUCGCUCUCUCGCUCUCUCGCUCGCUCACUUUUUCUUUUUAAAAUUAGAUAUUCAACAAGUGGCGUAAGGUCGAUCGCAAACGCAAAUGCUCGCCGCUCUCGGCGCAGCUCUCGCUCUCCCUUGGAAAUGUCACUCCCCCUGAUCACGCAACACAGUAGCGAGAGCGGGCUUUUCUCUUUUCCAGGGGAACCGCGCGACCGUCGUGCCGGUGCACGCGAGGUGUUUGCAAUGUCCAUGCGAAUCGAGCGAAUGCGCGCGCGCGAGCCUCUGCGUGUUGUUAACUUGGGAAUGCCUCAGGGCCAGUACGCGUGAGGUUCCUUCACGUGGGCCCCUUGUCGGAAGGGGCCCGUAUAUGCUCGCGUUAUUUUCUCGCGGCGCGAUAAGAUCGGCGCCGCUAAAAAUAGCGUGUGCGCGCCGCCCCGCACCGAGGACGCCGUCGCGCCGUCGAGCCGUCCGCUUCGGGGUGCGGAGGUACCAAAAAUUCACGACGAGCGCCGCAACCUGGAUCUCGUUGGGACGAACGUGUAGCUGGAAGAAUGUGAAGCUCAUCGGGGUUGGCCUGACCACUUCGGUCUCACCAGCAUCUUCUUCGUCGCCAUCGUUACCACCGUUAUCAUUAUCAUCAUCAACAUCAUCAUUAUCAUCUUCUUCUUUUUCUUCUCUUCUUUCUCGUCUCUCUCCUCUCUCUGCCUCUCUCUCUCUCUCUCUCUCUCCCCCCCCCCUCCUUCUUCUUUGCAACGAGCUUCAUUCGCUCGUAUGUGUACGCGAACGUACGCACAAGCGGGCUGUUGACCGUUUUACAUAACGAGGAAAGAUACCGCAAGCUUUCACGAAUGCUAUCGCACCAUCAUCGUGAACGCUGCGCGAAGGGAACGUUCGCAACGCGUCCCGGAGGAACGGGAAACAGGACGAUAUCAUUUUUACAGGACAGAAUGCAGGCGCGAAGCACGCGCGCGCGCUCGAGCAACGGCAAAGUUAUCGAAAAUGAAGUAUAGCCUGUGCUUGCAGCGAAGGCCGCGGCAAGGCCGCGCGCUUCUUCGUCUCCUCGUCUCCUCCUUGAUGAUCCACUGUGAGUGAGACUCAGGACACGCGCACUGACAAUGUCGUACGUGCGAUAACGCGAGCAAAAUUUCCGUGAGCGGAAAGCUGAAAUCCAUGAAAGCAACGGCGGCGGCGGCGGCGGCGGCGGCGAUCGCGGCUGCAAGUUCGAUUCGUCGACGUUGUGGAUGCACGCUCGCGUGCGAGAGAAGACUUCACGCCGUCUCGGCCGCGAGAAACCAUCUUCGCGUCGAAAUCGCAGCCCGCCGUCGAAUUGGUACCGGUUUCCCGAGACUGGCAAAGAAUCCGGCCGUUUCACGAAGACGCCGUUUCGACACUUCCGACUAUCGGCAUAUUGGCGACGACCACGACGACGGCUGACAAUUCUGCGUUACGCUAAGUCGAACACGAGCGAGCGAGCGAGCUCUCGCACCCAUGAACGUGGGCGCAGAUUUUUUCAUAAAACGAGUCCCUCGACGCGGAUGCUCAACCGCGUAUCGGGAUCAAUGACACGCCUGCAGAUUCCCGCAGGGGUGUGUAUCCUCCACGAUCUGCGUGCGCCGGCGACGGCGGCGGUAGUGUGCGGCAUGUAGAAUUCCAAGCCGCCCGCCUUCCUCGACUUCGCGCGCGCAGCAGGACCUACUGGUUUCUAUUUAUACACCGCCAGAGACCUUGCGGACGCAGACGCUCGCUCGCGCUUAUGAACGCCGCCGCUCGCGCUACGCGAACAUGUCGCGACGCGAUAUCAAAUUUGCCACAUUGUAUCGCGCUCUCCUGGCAAACGUGAGGCUCAACCUCUUGAGCCGGUCGAGAAACGCCACAUUCACGAUCAAGUCGCACAGUAUAAGGAAAACACACAACGCAACAAAUCAAAAGAUUUCCUUAGGAUCUUCGGUGCGCUUAUGUAAGAACGAACAUUCCACUUCCGUCUCGAUCGUGGGAGAUAAUUGUUUAGAGAUUAUUGUUUUUUGUUUCUGGACUAGCUUUUUCGCUCGAUGCAUGUGUGAAUAUAUUAAAUUCGCUUCUAUAGAUAUAAAUCAACAUUUGUCAAAUUAUAAUAAUUUUUUAUGAUGUUUGCCAAGUUGCAAUCAUGUAAAUGCACAGACGCACGCAAGUGACAAUAGUACGUUUACAAGAAUGGAUUUUCCUCUGUAAUUUGCAUACUCGAUUACAGUGCGAUUAUCUUCUGACGAGUUACUCAGUGUUAAAGCAAAAAAUCAUAUAAACUUCGCUCACUGACUAUAGUCUGUCAGCACAUAUGAUAAUUGUUAAUAGAUAAGUAGAUAAAUCAA